GACGAACGCUGGCGGCGCGCUUAACACAUGCAAGUCGAACGAGAUUAUCAGCUUCGGUUGUUAGUCUAGUGGCGAACGGGUGAGUAACGCGUGGGAACCUACCCUAAGGUACGGGAUAACAGCGGGAAACUGCUGCUAAUACCGUAUGUGUCCUUUUGGAGAAAGAUUUAUCGCCUUGGGAUGGGCCCGCGUCGGAUUAGCUUGUUGGUGGGGUAAUGGCCUACCAAGGCUUCGAUCUGUAGCUGGUCUGAGAGGAUGAUCAGCCACACUGGGACUGAGACACGGCCCAGACUCCUACGGGAGGCAGCAGUGGGGAAUCUUGGACAAUGGGGGCAACCCUGAUCCAGCGACGCCGCGUGGGUGAUGAAGGCCUUCGGGUUGUAAACCCCUUUUACCCGGGAAGAUGAUGACGGUACCGGGUGAAUAAGCACCGGCUAACUCCG
rnacentral:rRNA from 1 species